AGUUUUUGAAACUGUCUCUAUUUCUUCAGCGCAAGUUAACGGCUAGGAUUGGUCCCACAGUAAAAAAUGACUUAUUUGUCUUAAUUUUUAAGUAAAGCGCUACCAAAGCGGCCAUGUAAACGCUGAGUUUCGGCAAUCAUGUCAAAUUAAGAAGAAUGUUAUUUCUUGGAGUCCAAUUGUCUCACUUAUCACAUUUAUAAGGUCACAGUCCAAAAUCAGUUCAAUUAAGUCCCACAGUCAAUCGUUUCACUGAUAAAAGCGAUGCAACCUAGUAAUAGCGGAAAAAUAUCGCUAAAUACACGUUGGUAGGAAUAUGUGACACAACCGUUGUUAUUCAAACGGAUUGACACCGUUAGAAAGUCAAUGAAAUGUAGUUUUUGAAACUGUCGCUAUUUUUUCUGCGCGCGAUAACGGCUAGGAUUGGGCCCACGGUAAAGAAUGACUUAUUUUUCUAAAUUUUUAAAUGAAGCGCUACCACAGCGCCCAGGAUAAUCGCUGAGUUGCGGCAAUCAUGUCAAGUUAAGAAGAAUGUUAUUUCUUGGAAUCCAAUUGUCUGAUUUAUCACAUUUAUCAGGUAACAGUCCAAAAUCAGUUCAAUUAAGUCCCACAGUCGAACGUUUCACUGUUAAAAGCGAUGCAACCUAGUAAUCUAUAUAAUAAUACGCCAGUUCCGUGUCUCUGUGACAGGCAAAGUUGAUAUCGUCAUUUUCCUUUGAUGUUACUGAAAAAAAUCUUUGAUGUUGCCGAAAAAAAUAUGUCUUCUUUGUCGUGAAAAGCCGCGAGUUUUGUGUGGUUUGUUAAAUGAAGUUCUAGCACAAAGUAACGGAAAUUGUGUUUGCAAAAAAGAUGGCUGUCCUUUUUAAGCAUUUGUCUUCUCUUGCCUUUAAAAUAAAUCUUUACAAAAUCAUUUAAAAAGGGGCAUGGUAUAUAAAUGAAGUAUAGAAAGGUUUGUUUAUGUUUUUUAAAGUUUUGAUGAUAUUAUUGAUGCGAGACAUGUUUGUUAGCUAGCAUCAACCACACCAACAACAACUAGCUAGGUAGCUAGGAUUUUAUAAAUAUGUAGCCAUGUUCUUUAUACCUAGCUAAGUCUCCAGUUUAUAUUUAAGUGACCAGCUAUUAGCUGCUGUAGCUACCUUAUGUUAGCUUCAGUUUUAUGUUGCUUUUUACAUGUAAGCUAACCUUAGUGGUCUUUGCUAAGAAUGUGACUGUAACUUAUUUUAAUUGACAUUUUAAGCUUAAAUUAACAAGCCACAACAACUUUUAAAAAAGUAUUACAUAAUAUUUACGAAGAGUUUAAGGACUGUUUUUAAGCAAAUAAUGUAUUUUUCACAAUUUGUGUAUGCAAAUAAUGUAUUUUUCACAUUUUGUGUAACUAAACUUAUAUAUAUACAUCGGUUACAUGCAAUAUGACGAAACGAUUUUUAUUUAACAUGUAGUAAUUCUGGUACCUUAAGUGUAGUGAUUUUUGUUGUUCUAGAUGUUCUGACUAAAAUGUUUUUGUUUAUGGCAUUUUGUCUCAAUUAAGAAAAGUUUCAACUUUUUUGAGGGAGUACAACACCGAAAAAACUUGUGUUUUUUUUAUAUUUUAUAUAAAUUCUUACCGGUCAGGACUCUGUACAACAUACCGAAAUGACUGAUCCCUCUCUAUUUAUAAAUUUGAUGCGUUCCAAAUCACAGUUUUUUGAAAUUUUGGGUAAUAUUUAAUGAGCACAAGAUGCAAAUACUGAUUUUUGUUGAAUCAGAAGUAUUUCCUACAACCAUUCUUUUUUACACUUUUGUGGAGAAAAAGUGUAUGCAAUAUCAUCAGAAUAAUAGAUUUUGUUGCAAACUGUUUUUCUUUUUCACAUUUUGGAUUGAAAUAUUGUUAUAAAGGGCAUAUAUCAAUAGACAUAUAUAUAUAUAUACCAAAAUAAUUAAAUUCUGCAAACUUUGAUUUUGUCGUUCACCUCUCAUCUUUUAUAUUUUGAUUAAACUUUUGAGGAAAACCAUAGGAAUUAUUUAGAAUUUGUAUUUUGUGUUUCAAAUUUAGUGCAAAAAUUUAACUGUUGUGAGGGAGGACCAUAUGCAAUUAUAUAUACUAAAAAUAAUAAUUUGAUAUUCUACAAGUUGUAUUUUUUUAUGCACUUAAAUGACUGCUUUUUCUGAGUUGAAUUUGAUGGUUUUCAUGUCAAUUUUGUGGAAGAUUUUAUGGCUGAAGACAAUAUAGAACAUGCCAAUUGAACUGAUUUUUGUUCAUAUUUUGAUUUACUCCUCAUAAACCUUUGUGUUCUACAUUUAUUGUAAACUAUUGUGAGGAAGGACCAUAUAUAUAUAUACAAUGUUUUCAAAAUAAUGAUUUUUGUUGAUUAGAAAUUUACUCCUUGCUCAUUGCUUUUUCGACAUUUCAGGUUAAAAUGUUUGGUAAAGUCAGUAUGGAUCAUUAGACAAAAAAUUGUUUUGUUAACCGGUUAAUUUUUACAUUUUGUGCAUAUUUUUGCGGGAGAGGAUGGUAUGCAACCGAAUAAAUGAUUUUUCAAAGUUUAACUUUUUAUUUUUAGGUGUUUUGUGUUUGUUUAAGUUUGGCUUUUUGAUAUUGUUCAGGUUGUAUUGUUGUAUAAGCAUUUAGGGAAAAGACAAUGUUUAAAAUGCGUAAAGAACUUAUUUCAUAGAUCUGUGCUUACUGUUGCAAGCCUUUCUUUUCGACACUUCAGAUUAAAAUAUUGAAGGUUUUCAACAUAAUCACAUAAUAAGAUGUAUACAUAUUUGAGAUGUGUUAUUUCUGACAUUAUUAUUAUUGUUGUCGUAACUGUCUGGGUUGUGACUGUCAAUGUUGUAACUUUCUACUAACUAGAUUUUACACCUUGCA